ensembl:misc_RNA Y_RNA Y RNA
GGCUGAUGUGAUGGUAGUGGGCUAUCAGAACAUAUUCAUAGCAGUAUCAGUAAAGUUGGUAAUACAACCCCCCCACUGCUAAGUUUGACUAGCUUUAA